rnacentral:rRNA from 1 species
UACGGAGGGUGCAAGCGUUGCUCGGAAUCACUGGGCGUAAAGCGACCGCAGGCGGUCUGACAAGUCGGAUGUGAAAGCCCUGGGCUCAACUCAGGAACUGCAUUCGAAACUGGCAGACUCGAGUACGGGAGAGGGGGGUGGAAUUCCUGGUGUAGGGGUGAAAUUCGUUGAUAUCAGGAGGAACACCGGCGGCGAAGGCGGGUCUCUGGGCCGAUACUGACGCUGAGGAGCGAAAGCGUGGGGAGCAAACAGG